GGCCAAGGUGAUUCCCUCUCCAAGUGGCUGACCAUGUCCCUUUCAGGAACAUAGCAACUUGAAAGAAAACCAAACAUGCCUGGUGAACAAGAGAUACUUGUUUCCCUUGCCUUCCUUUGGUUGUAUAAAAAA
ensembl:snoRNA